AACUUUGCACAGUGGCGAUAUCGUAACUAAUGAGGUUUUACCGAGGUGUGAUUGUUGCUAAUUGAAAAAAAUCCUAUUUAAUAAUGUAUCAUGUUUUCUACAAGGAACAGUUUUAUUCUGAUAAGGAUUUUAUAUUU